rnacentral:rRNA from 1 species
AGAGUUUGAUCCUGGCUCAGGACGAACGCUGGCGGCGUGCCUAAUACAUGCAAGUAGAACGCUGACUACUUUAGCUUGCUAGAGUAGAAGGAGUUGCGAACGGGUGAGUAACGCGUAGGUAACCUGCCAACUAGCGGGGGAUAACUAUUGGAAACGAUAGCUAAUACCGCAUAACAGUGUUUAACACAUGUUAGAUGCUUGAAAGGUGCAAUUGCAUCACUAGUAGAUGGACCUGCGUUGUAUUAGCUAGUUGGUGGGGUAACGGCCCACCAAGGCGACGAUACAUAGCCGACCUGAGAGGGUGAUCGGCCACACUGGGACUGAGACACGGCCCAGACUCCUACGGGAGGCAGCAGUAGGGAAUCUUCGGCAAUGGGGGCAACCCUGACCGAGCAACGCCGCGUGAGUGAAGAAGGUUUUCGGAUCGUAAAGCUCUGUUGUAAGAGAAGAACGUGUGUGAGAGUGGAAAGUUCACACAGUGACGGUAACUUACCAGAAAGGGACGGCUAACUACGUGCCAGCAGCCGCGGUAAUACGUAGGUCCCGAGCGUUGUCCGGAUUUAUUGGGCGUAAAGCGAGCGCAGGCGGUUUUAAUAAGUCUGAAGUUAAAAGGCAGUGGCUUAACCAUUGUUCGCUUUGGAAACUGUUAAACUUGAGUGCAGAAAGGGGAAAGUGGAAAUUCCCUGUGUUGCGGUGGAAUGGCGUAAAUUUUUGGGAGGAACACCCGGGGGCAAAAGCGGCUCUCUGGUCUGUAACUGACCCUGAGGCUCGAAAGCGUGGGAAGCAAACAGGAAUAAGAUACCCUGUAGUCCCACGCCGUAAACGAUGAAUACUAGGUGUAGGGGCCCCAAGCCUCUGUGCCGCCGCUAACGCAUUAAGUAUUCCGCCUGGGGAGUACGGUCGCAAGAUUAAAACUCAAAGGAAUUGACGGGGACCCGCACAAGCAGCGGAGCAUGUGGUUUAAUUCGAAGCAACGCGAAGAACCUUACCUAGACUUGACAUGUCUUGAAUUACCAGUAAUGUGGGAAGUCCCUUCGGGGACAGGAACACAGGUGGUGCAUGGUUGUCGUCAGCUCGUGUCGUGAGAUGUUGGGUUAAGUCCCGCAACGAGCGCAACCCUUAUUGUUAGUUGGUACCAUUAAGUUGACCACUCUAGCGAGACUGCCCGGGUUAACCGGGAGGAAGGUGGGGAUGACGUCAAAUCAUCAUGCCCCUUAUGUCUAGGGCUACACACGUGCUACAAUGGCAAGUACAAAGAGAAGCAAUACUGUGAAGUGGAGCAAAACUCAAAAACUUGUCUCAGUUCGGAUUGUAGGCUGAAACUCGCCUACAUGAAGCUGGAGUUGCUAGUAAUCGCGAAUCAGAAUGUCGCGGUGAAUACGUUCCCGGGUCUUGUACACACCGCCCGUCA